AUUCCAGUGUGAUUCAUUCAUUAAUUCAUUUGACUCAAUUUAGCUUAAACAUCACAUCCUGAGAUGCUGUGUUAAAUCCUGGAGUCACAAAAGACCUUUACAGAAAUCUUUACAGAUUUCUGGGAACUAUAGACACGUAUAUGAGGAUAGGUUUGGACCAUUGUAGCUGCUGUCAUAGCUGUUGUUCUGGUGAGCAGUGGGGACCCAAGUGUUAAUGGGCCCUGCAAUAAACAUGUAUAGGCCUGAGAUAAAUGGGUCAGUGUCUCUCAUGAAGCUCUGUUUUAUCAAGGUGAGGGAAUGUGUCUUUUUUGCAUUUAUUCCCUCCCAGGGUUUAGGUCACUGCCUGACACAUGGCAGGUGCACAGUGGAUACACAGAGAGUGUAUAAAUUCUCUGGGAAUUUAUCCUCAUCUCUACAAGGGGGGUUAGCCAGUAUUUUGAGGAUCUCCCUCAAUGCUGACGUUCUAGAAUCCUGUGAUGGGUGCUGAAACAAUGCUCCCUCAUGGGAGCUGCUUGAGAAGGUCAUUCAUUAUUUUGCGACAUCUUCAGACUCUCAUGAUUGCUAGAAGCUGACUAAUUAUGAGAAGAGAAGUGAAGGCCUUGAAAUGCCUCUCUAUGCACAUCUGGCCUCACUGUCAAAUAAAGUACUUAUUUCUGAUAAGCUCUUUGGCUUCUGUGAAGCUGCCUGGCCGUGUCUGGCCGUGGGCGGUGCUGAUAAUGAACCGAACAGAGAACACAGACUUGGCGGGGAAGGUGGGGACCCAGUGGGUAGAAAGAAUGGGCUUUUUAGACCAUUUCAAAGUAACAAGAAGGCUUUGAGAGUGCUUAGUGAUGUCUGCUACCACAUUCGUUUCCUCUGUUUCCAUUGAAAUUGAAGUUCUAGAUGGACUGAACCUGACUAAGAAAAGGGAACGUGGACAGGAAAGCUAAUGACAAAUGCAACUGGCUUAUUUCUGGAAUGCUUUAUACUCUCAGAGUCUUGUGCCCUGAACUUUCUUCAUCUGGACUCUAGGGGCACUUAAGCAAUUAGCAUGCCACCAGCUGGGUGCUGUGGAAAGAUCACGGACUUUAGAAACUGUCCAAGAAACUAGUGGGAAUCCACCCUUGUGAGUUGUGUAUCCUUGUCAAGUUUAAUUUGCCAUGCUGAACCUCAGUUUCCUCACCUAAGAGAAAGAAAAGAGAAAUAGAUUUAUUUAUUUAUUUAUUUAUUUAUUUAUUUUUGAGACAGGGUUUCACUCUCUUGCCCAGGCUGGAGUACAGUGGUGCGAUCUCAGCUAACUGCAACCUCUGGUAUCUGGGUUCAAGUGAUUCUCGUGCCUCAGCCUUCUGAGUAACUGGGAUUGCAGGCAUGCACCAACACAUCAGGCUUAUUUUUGUAUUUUUAGUAGAGACUGGUUUUCACUAUGUUGACCAGGCUGGUCUCAAACUCCUGGCCUCAUGUGAUCUGCAAGUCUCGGCCUUCCAAAAUGCUGGGAUUUCAAGUGUGAGCCACUGUGCCUGUCCGAGAAGUGAUUGUUUAGUUAGAGUAACUCUAGAUGACAUAACAAAUAAACCUCAGUAUUUUAGUAGCUCAAAGACGCCUCUUUCUAAGUCAGAUAAUAGUUUCAAGCUGGGUGCAGUGGCUCACGUCUAUAACCCUAGCACUUUGGGAGGCCAAGGAGGCAGAUCACGAGGUCAAGAAAUCGAGACCAUCCUGCCAACAUGGUGAAACCCUGUCUCUACUAAAAAUACAAAAAUUAACUGGCUAUGGUGGCACGUGCCUGUAGAUUCAGCUAUUCGGGAGGCUGAGGCAGGAGAAUCGCUUGAACCUGGGAGGCGGAGGUUGCAGUGAGCCAAGAUCACGCCACUGCACUCCAGCCUGGCGACUGAGCAAGACUUUGUCUCAAAAAAAAAAAAAAAAAAAAUAAAUAAAUAAAUAAAUAAAAAGUUUGAGAAGGGUUUUCCUGGUCAUUAGCUGGCUUUUCUUCAUUCUGUGAUCUAGAGACCCAGGUCUCUUCCAUGUUGUUGUUCUGCCAUCCCUGGGACCUUGAAGUCACUCCAGCUGGCAGCGGAGAUGAAGGACAGGAGAGAAGGCACACCACUUCUUAAACACGUCUUCCUGGAAGUAGGAUGCAAUCAUUUCACUUGCCAGGGAUAAGUUCUAGACGAGCUUUAGAAGGGGGAUGGUCUUUGGGAAGCCAAGGUGGGAGGACUGCUUCAUCUCAGGAGUUGGAGAUCAGCCUGGGCAACAGAGUGAAACCCUGUCUCUACAAAAAAUACAAAAAUUAGCCACGUGUGGUGGCACAUGCCUGUGGUCUCAGCUACUUAAGAGGCUGAAUGGGAGGAUCACCAGAAUCUGGGAGGUGGAGAUUGAGGUCAACCAAGAUCACACCAUUGCACUCCAGCCUGGGCAACAGACCAAGACCUUGUCUCAAAAAAAAAAAAAAAAAAAAGAAGGGGGAUGGUCACCAUUCUCUGCCAUAAAUACCUUAGUGUUGCUUAAGAAUAAGUGAGGUUGGGUUUGUGAACCUACCCUUGCAUAACAUGUGUCACCAACUAUGGCCUUACUUAUUUGUGGAUUGUUUGUAGGUACACAUGGCCUCACAGGACCAUUCGUGUGUCCUGAAAUUAAUGUAUCCCUUUGGAAAUAUGUGGUAGACAUCUCUCUGUGUUAUUAAGGAUAGAUCUCCACCAUGAAUGUAAUGGCUAACGCUUACAGCUGGAUCAUGAUUUACAUUAACUCCUCCCUUGCUGGUAUCUUAUAGAUUGUCUUUGGUUUUGUUUUCACUACAAAGGAGACAGCACGAAUUCUCCUACAUGCUCACCACACAACUGGUACUGUGAGGGAGACGAAGAUGAGUCAUGCCUGUACUGCUCUUUAAACACUCACAAUUGAAUAAGCUACCCAGGUGACACGACAUGGUUAUCCUGGCCAGAAAACCAUGGCUUUUCCUAAUCAGAGCUUCAGUGCUGUGGAAACUUGAAGUUUGGAGGGUCUGAUGUCUCAGUCUGGAUGAGGAUGAGUUCCCUGCCAUUCCUGGAUCAGCAGCUUAGAUUCCAAGAUGGUGGCUCAUGCCUGUAAUCCCAGCACUUUGGGAGGCCAAGUUAAGAGUAUGGCUUGAGCCCAGGGGUUCAAGACAAAACUGGGAAACACAGCAAGACCCUGUCUCAAAAGAAAAAAAAAAGAUUCCAAGAUGGUGUAGAACAUCAGAGAGGGGCUCUUGGAGAUUAUCUGGCCAUCGUCACCCCACCUGCUUAUAGAUGGAAAUGCAUAGACUCAGAGAGGUUGGGGGACAUAUGGUCAGCUGUACAAAUCCAGUGGACCUCAAAUCCAGACAUUUCUAACCUGAAUUAAAUUCUCUCGCCCUUGUAUGGAGGUCCCAGAGUCCUAUUUUCCAAAAUUUGCCUCUGAAUGUCUCCAUGUCAAAGGGCUUUCUCAGUGUGCCAGAGGGCAAUGGAGAAUGGAGCAGAAGUGACCACAGAAGAACAGGUGGGAAGAUUCCUGCAACAGCAAAAAUUCUGCUGCCUAGUUCCUGAGACAUUAAGAAUGUAUGGUCUAUACAACUACAUGGCCAGCUGCCUCCUCCUUAAUUUUUUCGUUUUGUUUUGUUUCUGAGACAGUCUUGCUCUGUAGCCCAGGCUGGAGUGCAGUGAGCUCACUGCAGCCUCAACCUCCUAGGUUCAAGUGAUCCUCCCACCUCAGCCUCCCAAGCAGCUGGGACUAUAAGUGCACGCCACCAAGCGCUAUUUUUUUUUUUUUUUUUUUUUUUUUUUUUUUUAGAGGCAGGGAUCUUGCUAUGUUGCCAGGGCUGGUCUCGAACUCCUGGGCUCAAGUUAUCCUCCUGCCUUGGCCUCCCAAAGUGUUGGGAUUAUAGGUAUAGCCAUCAUGCCCAGCCCUCCUUAAUUUUUUAACAUGAAUUAAUAGGACCUGGACACACACAGCCUCAUUUAUAUUGGCAGCCAUCACAGCCUGCCACAUGUCAGAUGAGGUCUCUGGGGCUCUCACUCCUUGUGUCAGGGGUGAUGCCACAUGUGGCCCAGCUGUAAGUCACAUUCAGCUCCUGUGUUCACCAGGAUCAGAUAGAAUACCAGCACAUCUUACCCUCCUGCACCCUGGAAGUUUGUAAUAAUCUAUAAAUACGUAGAUUAUUUCAGAGAACAUUUUCAGAAUCCUGUUGCGCAUAUGCACAAAAAUAUUGGCUGCAGUGUGUUUAUAACCAUGAAAACUCCAAAAUAGCUUCAAUCUCCUGUGAGAGGGGAGUGGUUGAAGGCCCUCCAGCUCGUGCACAGAAUUCUUUCUUCAGCCAUUUAAACAUGAAAAUGAGGGUUAAAAAUGACUACAUUAUGGGGAAAAGGGACAGGAUGCAAAUUGUUCAAAUGGCAUGAUGACACGAUAAGGAAAGAAAAAGAUGUUGUAAAAGGUCACAAAAAGUCACCCACAGAUCAGCAAUCAUGUCAUGAUUAGCUGCUCUGUGCCAGACACACAGGCUGGGAAUUGGUAGAUGCUCUUCCCAGGAAGUGGGCAGCUGCCCCUCUGUGCCUCUGUCACCUCUGUUAGGCUUCUGGAAGCCCCCUUCAUUGCUGCGUGUAAUGACGUCUUCAUCACCACGUGUAACAGCUUCUUUACCACUAUGUGUAAUGCCAUUCUGUGUGCUUACUGGGCUAAACAAUCACAGAGGAAAAGAGUGCUGGAGAAAUGCCAGAGAGGUAGGUACCGAAAUGUUCCAGAUGGAAAGUCUCGGCUUCAGGUGGCCAUAGCAGUGAAUGUCAGGGUCAAACAGGGGGUGUAUUCUUGGGAGAGCUUCAGCUGGUCUGUGACCUAGUGUCCAGCCAGCUUCCUGGGAAGCAGGCUGCAUCCUGACAUUGAAGCCCUGUGUGCUAGGAUGAGUGUGUUACGCAGAGCCUUACAAAUGAGAAAAUCUUGCAUCCUCAGGACAGGCAGUUAGUGUUGCUGUCUGGAAUACACCGGCUACCUCCCUCCUCCUCCCACCACUUAAAAUUCCCUGAAUCUGACAGUGGUAGGGAAAGGGCUGAUCCUGGAGAAGACUGUUCCUUGAUAAUCCUAGUAUGAUUCAUAAUGGUUGCAGCAGAUGAGCCCCGAGGUCCAUGACUCAGUCUGCAGCUAAGGAAGGCUCUUCUCUGGGGAGGUGUGUCCAGCUUCCCGGGAAAACCUCAGCUGUCUAGCUGGUCUGGGCUGCCCAGUUCUUAGCAGUGCAUCAGCGAUGAGCAGCCGCUGACCAUCAGGCAGCGUUUCCCGCCUGCCAGAGAACAUCAGAGCCACUGCGUCUGGACCAGCUGAAGGCAGCCAUGGUGCCCAGGAUGCUGCUGCUGCCUCCAAGGAAAAGAACUCGGAAAAUAAGGAAUUACAGCCUGGUGGUUUUGUUUUAUGUUCAUUAAUUUUUUUACAUCUGGAAGAUAAUGGAAAAAAUUAAAAAUUGCUAUAAUUGCACCAGUUUUAAAAAUUAAUAAUAUAAAGAAGGGAGAGUAACCAACACCAGCUUGAAACCCAUCCCGCCCCUUCUUGAGAUAAUCCCUGUUAUCAAUUUGGUAAUUUAUGCAAACGUAGUGGUGCACUGUUAAACUUCUCAAGAGGAGAAACAAAAACUCUGAAUUGUAGGUUUGUCGAUUUCAAUGGCGAAAUCCCACCACUGCCGAUUUCAGGCAAACAAAGCUUUAAAAACAAGUUCGCAAAUUUCUUGAAUAUUUAACAAUCAGCUUUUGCAAGCGCAUACAUGCUCACAACGUUUGCUUUUUUGUACUUCGUUUUGAGGGAGGCAGGAAAUGGAAACUUGCAAUGGUAUUGAUAAGCAUGCCAUUUUUAUUUACAGUAUCACGGAUGUCUUCCUAGACCAGCAUGUGCAGAUUCACUUAGCUUCUCUCACUUGUGGGAUGGGGUUUCCAUGAAGGCGCACUGUGUUGCUUCUGGAAAGGCAGAAUCGGUCCCCCAGGAGACGGGAAUGGCAGCAGCUUGGCACUCAGAGGCUAGCUCCUGCAAUGCUGUCCACUUGCAGUGGACAAAGCAGUAAACUUUGGCAUUUACUUGGAGUUCACUCUAGCUUCGGUUUCUUCUAAAUAUGUUCUUCCAAUGACCUGUAGCCUAAUCAACUCUGCUGGCAACACAUCCCUUUGCUCUGCUCAAUUCCAGGUUCCAUCAGAGAAUCUCAUUUUUCUUUUGGGAAAUGUUUCUUGAUUUUCGUCUUUUCCACCACCCCUCACUGAGGCUGGGUAAAGUCCUUCUUCUCCAUGAUGCUUAGAACCCAGGCCUCCUUCUGUGGCAGGGCUCUCUACCCCUUAUGAUUUAUUGUGUGAUGUCUCAACCUGUUUCCUGUGGAGAAGCAGAGAAGCUCUGGUAAACAGAAUGGCUCUCUAAAGAUGCCCACGCCUUAAUCUCUGAUGUUAUGCCCAUGAAUGAAUAUGUUACUUUAUAUGGCAAAGGAGACUUUGCAGUUGUAAUUAAGGUUACUAAUCAAUUGACUUCUAAUAGGGAGAGUAGCCUUGGUUAUCCAGGUGGGCCCAAUCCAAUCACACGGGCCCUUAAAGGCAGAGGUUUUCUCUGACUGUGAUCAGGAAGAUGCCGUGAAAGAUUCUAAGUGUGAGAAGGAGUUGAUGUGCCACUGCUGACUCUGAAAUGUGGGGCCCACUUGUAGGAACUGGAGGGAGAGACUGGUUGCUAACGGUGGCCCCUAGCUAACAGGCAACAGAGAAGUGGGGACCCCCGGCCUACAGCUGCAGGGAACUGAAUUCAGCAACGUGAAUAAGUUUGGAAGAGGAUCCUUCCAGAACCUCCUGAUAGGAGCCCAGUCCGCUGUCACCUUGAAUUCAGCUUCGUGAACCAGGAGCAGGGAAACCAGCUGAGCCAACCCACAUUCUGACCUAAGGAGCACUGAGAUGAGAAAAUCGAAGCUCAGAGAUGUUAAGUAACUUUCUUAAGAUCUCACAGCACAUGAGAAGACAAUCCGGCAUUUGAACCGGGCACUGCGGUUGUGAAACACUGGUCUAUAGCCACCUUGCUCCCCAUUGCUUCCCCCUAGCCUUUGGAAUAUUGUGUUCCCCUAAUUAUUAUGAUAGUGAGGACAACCAUGUGAUUGAUGAUGAUGAUGAUGAUGAUGAUGAUGACGAUGACGAUGAUAGCGAUGGCGGUGGUGAAGGAGGAAGACAUCCCUUCAUUUCGUAUAGCAAUCUGCUUCUUGCUGGGAUUUCAAAUCCAUUUUCAUUGUUGAUCCUGAGAACAAGCCUUGGAGGCAGAGUCAUUUUGAAAUCCCAGGAAACCGGGUCUUAGGAGACGGCUGAAGACCCAAGCAGUCAUUUGGUGGAUUCUGUGAGGCCCAGAGCUGAGGAGGAGGACAUGGGUGUAGAAAUGGUCACAGCCCACACUGCUGUGCCUACAGCUCUGGAUCCUGACUGUUUUGUUUGCAUUCCUGAGGCCAUGUCAGCAACAGGCUUGGAAAGGGAAGUGGGGGACAGCCUUGAAGCAUCUGGCCUAUGUCUGCAACCAAGUCAUCAGAACACAGAAGGGAUCUUGCAGCCAUUGUGUCUUUGUGCUCAGAAUGUGACUCCAUUCAUAUGACGGUGCUAGAAGUCAGUACAGUGGUUAUCUCUGGGACGACGGCAGAGGAAACUAUGAAGGGCCCAGGAACAUCUUCUGGGAGGAACAUCUUGCUGGUUUGAGCCAGUCUUGGUGUUCUGUGUUCACCUGGUUCAUCUGAGGGGCUGCAUCUACCCUGCCCUUGCCAUAGAUCCUGCCCUGUUUGCUUCUCCUGUUGCUGCUAGUGGACAUGAGGUAACCACAGCCUAGUUCUGUGAUGAGCUCUUCACACCUGUACCCAUAUGGACUGUGGGAGAGUUUCUCCGAUAUGGACCGUGAUGCGGGAAACUGCCAAAUUGUCUUCCAAAGUGGCUAUAUCAUUUUGCAUUCCCACCAACAAUGAGAGUCCCUGUUGCUCCAAAUCCUCCACCAGAAUUUGGUAUUCACGUUUUGGAUUUCAGCAUUCUAAUAGAUCUUGGACAUGAUACCUGGAUGUGCGGCAGCUAUCUUGUAAUUAUGAGGUGACAAGUCAAUAGACUGAGAUAGUGGAGCAGCAAAGAUAGAAAAGGUCUGGAUUUUUUAUAGCAUUGUUGAACUGUUCCAUCAGCCUAAGACAGAUGACUAUCUCCAGACUUCUUGUUAUGUACAACAUAUCCUGUUGUUUAAGUCACUCUAACUUGGAUUGUUUCUUAUUUUCAGCUGAAAUUAUUUCUAAUAGAUAUACAGAUUUCCAACAAAGCACAGUGUAGAGCAGCUUAACGUGGUACCUAUGUGCCAAAGUUCCAGAGCAAGAGUUCCUGGGUUCUAAUCUUGGCUCUGUGGCGUGACUUUAGACAAGUCACUUAGCUUCUCUGUGACUCGCUUUUCUCAUGUAUAAAAUGCUCAGUAACUGUGUAUUGACUGUUGAAUAAAGGAUAAUAGUGAUACUGAAUUCAUAUGGUUGUUAGGAUCAUUGAAUGACUAAACAUUUUAUAAAAUGAUUAGAACAUUGCUUGGCACAUUGUAAUUGGCUGCAGGUGUGCUUGUCAAAGUAAAAUUAAAAGAAAAGUAGUCACUAUUAUAGGCUUGGGUUUGCAUCUUGAUCCCAUCAUUGGGCCACUUGUGGUGUUUAAGCAGAACCUUCACCCUUUCACUACUGAGGCUCAUAGAGCAUGAAACUCCCCCUAAAAUCUGUCUCAAAGCAGCCACAAUGGUGGUUUCUUUUUGACAAAAAAAGGCUCCUUAGAGAACGUUGGCUUGCAAAGGAGAGGCUGUGACUACCAAGUCGUGUCAACAACUGAAUGGCCGAAAUACCCAAACUUGCCCAUGCAAAUGGGCUUGGGUCUCUCCUGGCAGCCCCCUUUGAAGGCUCUAGACUUAUCUGUGAACUCCUUUUUUGAGAGGGUCUUUCCAACUAGUGGUUUAUUCUUUGACUCUCCUCAUACCUUUCUUGCCAGAGAGUGAGAGUGAGAAGGAAGGGCUAAUGCCUGAGCUCCUGCCCUUUCUAUGCAGUGAGGGUCAAGAUCCUCAGCUGGUGUUUGAGGCAACUGUUGUAACCUGGGUCUCUCCUUUUCUACCAUCCAAGUUGCCACCUCUGUCGAGGUCCCACUCUAAUUUGGGCAGCCACUAAGCAAUAUUUUGAAAUAUACCUUGUUCAUGGGUUUAAAGGAUCAACUGGUAGGUGUGUCCAUUAGCAAAUCCUAUGGAACAAAUAUCUGCUCUUUUUACCCCCUACUUACCUUCUCCACCAAGGACAGUUCAGACAAAGUUGUCACCACCUUUGGCCUGAUUUACUGCAGGAGCCUCCUAAUCUAUCUUCCUGUUUCUACUCUAUCCUUUAUCCCCCCUUGGCAGCCAGGGGAUCCUUUAAAAAUGUGAACCAAAGCAUGGGACUAAACCACUCAAAAUCUUCCCAUGGAUCUCAUCUCAGAUUAAAAUCCUAAGUGCCUUCUCUUGUCCUUAGUGAACCCCAGGUGCACCGUUCCUCUGCCACUUUGCCCCCUUGUUUAUCCUACUUCCCACACUGGCCUCCUUGCUGUGGGCCAGACAUAUCUGAGACCAGUGUGGCUUCAGGGCUUUUGCACAUACCAUUUUCCUUUUCUGGAACACUCUCUCUUCCUCGCACAUCUGCCUGGCUCUCUGCUCAGAUGUCAACUCUCAGAGAGGCCUUUUCUGACCACUCCCUCUAAAAGAGUUUCCCCCGCCCCUCAUUUCCUAUCAUUAUCUGUAGUACUGAUGACUUGCGGAUGUUAUUACAAAUUUGGUUAUUUUUUGCAUCCUCCAGCAAAAUGUAAGCCAAGUGAAGAAUGAGGUAUUGUUUUGUUCAUCAAGAAAUCCACAGAAACCAGAACAUUCUGUAGCAGGUGAUCACUAAAUAUUUGUUAAACUACAAAAAGCCAUUUUGGGUUAGAAAUAAGGUAUAGCUGACACAAUUCUAAGCCUGAUGUUUCUUAUGAGCCUGCUAAAUUGGCCCUGAAACCACCUCCCAGAAACCUCUAGAUAUGUUCUGAAUAAUGGGAGCAAUGCUGGACCAGUGUUUGAGGUUCCAAAGUGAAUACAUGAAAGUGAAAAUGAAGCUACAUGUGACUGGAUGAACCCUCUUACAUUUGUUUAAAAAUCCUCUUCAUCAUGAUUAGUUCACGCUCUCUUUUUUUUGCUUUGCUCCUAGGCACCAGACAAGUCAUUCCAAAUAUGGGGUCUUGGUACCAGUCAGAACGAGGUUCCCGUCUGUGGUUUAAAAACAAAAUGACCUUGUUCCUUGAUAUUCUUUCCAUUGAAAGAUGGGAUAUAUGACUUUUCCUUGAGUCUGUGCAGGCUUGUGACUGCUUUAUGCAGCUCCUGCCUGGUUUUCUGAGCAUACUUAUUCCGGGGAAAGCACUGGGACUGUCGAGCCGAAGAGGUCCCUGGUGGGUGCUCUUGUUUGUAGCCUCAGCUGAGCUCCCAGCAUCAGCCAGCAACCCUGAGAGCCGCCAUCUUGGAUGCACAUGUAGGCCCUCUGCACCUUCAAAAGUCCGCGGCCUGGCUGACAUCUGACCACAAGGGCAUGGGAAACUCCAAGUGAGAACCACCCAGCCAAGCCCAUCCCAAAUUCUUGACCAAAAAAAUCAUGCAACAUGAAACAAUUAUUGUUUUACAACACUAAGUUUUGCAGUAAAUCUGUAAUCUGCAAUAGUAAUGAGAACCCCACCUUAACUCUUCCUCCUACGUACUAGGCAAUCAUGAGAAAAACCUUUUUUUUAACACUCUGGGCAUCAGAUUUCUCAUCUGUAAGUUAAGAGUGAUAAGAUAUAUUGAUGUGGUUGUUGUUUCAAGCAAAAGCAAGUUUUGUCCAAAACCUAGCAUGCUUCUCCACACAAACAAUAUUUUCUCAAAUUUAAGUGCCUUCAUUUUAUGACUCACCCUUAAUUCAUGUGUACUAAGAAAGAAACAAAUGCUUCCAAUUAAACUACUGCAUUACUGUAUGCCACUGGUUGUAGGACACAUACCUAUUUUGGAAAUACUGAAAUUUGAAAAGAUGUAUGUGUUAGCAUCUUUGAUUUAAAGACUGAUUAACAUAAGCACCUAGAGCGAAAAACAAGAUCCCCAAGAUUAGAGUUUGUGAAGUGUAAGAGGAGACGUUAAAGCAAAUGUACCUUUGUAUGAAAGUCUCCAAUCUGCCAUUCUGUUUUAUAUGAUAAAACACAAGGAUUAGUGCAGACAACCUUGUGGUCCAGACAAAAAGUGCCUUCCUUGUCAGCCGUCAAAUGGUUAGAAUUCAAAUGACAUCACGUCACAGUUAUUUAGCCAAAAUAUAUUUUGCAAAAGGGAUGAAGUCAGAUCCCUAAAUCUGGCUGUGAGUCAAUAAGUUGUUUUCAGCAGUAAUUCAUCCCUAGUAAUAGUAAUAGUCCAAGCCCCAUUUCUCUUUGGUUCUUGAGAAUUUCCUUUUUUUAGGACAUGAACUAGUAGUUCCUUGAGUAUUCCAGCCAAUGGGCAGAAGGGGUCUAGGCAGUGGGCAAAAGGAUGACACAAGGAGACCCAGGGCCACAUCUAGUGGGACAGAAACAUAAGCAUCAGCUUCUUAGCAGGCUUGAUGCUAAGUGUUCACAUGGAGCUCUGCAGUCAGUACAGCUGCCCAGAGUGCUACUAUGCUAAUCCUCAUGUGAAAGGCAAACCUACUUCAGGACCAGAGAGGUUAAGUCUCUUCCUCAAAGUCACACAGCUUGAUUAUGUCAACUUAGACCAUCAGACACCAGAGCCUGUACUUAUACCCACAGCACUGUACUAACCAGAAUGUUUGCAAAGACACAGAAAUAGUCAUAAGAGGCUCCAACAAACCCAAAGCUCACACCACAACAGCUGUCUUAUCAGCUUUACCUAAACAGAGAAUUUCUUUUAAUCCAUACCAUCUUACUUUGUUCAGUAUGGGUUUUCCGAUAAGGCCGUUCUUACCUCCUUCUCUUUCUGGUAAAAACCAAAACAUCCUUCAAGACCCAGCUCAAAUGGGACAGUUUAACUCCUUGUUCCUACAGGGUGGGCCCUGGCUGCAUUUGGCUCCAGCAUAUUGUCCCUGGGGCUGCAUGGCUGGCGCUCCUGGAAUUGUUGGGAGUGGUUUCUGUUGAUUACUCCUAUUGGAGUGGAAGUUUCUUGAGGUUCUGGAGUUACACUGAGUUUGACUCUAUGAUUUACAGCUAUGGCCUUGGACAAAUGUCUUAGCUUUCCUGAGCUUUAAUUUUCUUAUCUACUUCCCAGAAUUGUCGUAAUGCAGUGUCUUUGCUUAGAUUGCAUGGUCAGUGCCCAAUAUUGUUUACUGUUAUGUGAUUGGCACUUGUGGAGCAUCUUUGUGCAUUAUCUCAGUCUUCAACAGCCCUCUGAGGUAGGUUCUUUCACUACCACCCCUUUUUCACAGAUGAGGAAACUGAGGUGAAACCUCUUGCCCAUGGUUCCACAGCUCAGAUGUGACAAAACUGGGCUGUAAUCGUACCUUUUUAAACUCCCUUCCCUCGAUGGAAUCCCAGUGAAAGCCUCCAUGAACUGAUUGCCAAGGAUGUUUUGUCAUGUAUCAGUCUCUUUAGAUGUAUUUUAAUUCAGAUCUUAAUUUUCCACUCAUUUGUGCCUAGGUGACAUUAUCCUAGUUUGCAGGAAAAUGAUGCUGCAACCAGCUUUGUCUCUGUAAACUGUGGUUGUUUACACAUUUCAGGUGUCUGGCAAUAAUGUGUCCCUCCACCUGGCUCUUAUGCAUGGCAGAUUAUUAGCACCACAACUGCCCAUUUAGUUAAUGAAUCGAAAACAUGGAUCACGCCCAUUAUUGGCCUUGAAAAGCUCAAGCAAACUCUUAAGCAUAACUAAGGGGCCCACCUCGUUUUCCAACCCAAAGAAUGCCAGGGCUACGCCUCCUAUUUACUUUGAAUGAUUGGCUCACCAAGGUUUUUGCUGGCUUUCUGUGUUGCUGCAAUCAUGGGAACCCUCUAACUCUGCUGACAUUCCUGAUGUGCUACGUUUUUGUUUUUUUUUUUCUUUUUUUGAGAUGGAGUCUCGUUCUGUCUCCCAGGCUGGAGUGCAGUGGAGCGAUCUCAGCUCACUGCAACCUCCACCUUCCGCCUCCCAAGUUCAAGCAUUCUCCUGCCUCAGCUUCCCGAGUAGCUGAGAUUGCAGACACGUGCCACCACGCUCGGCUAUUUUUUGUGUUUUUAGUAGAGAUGGGGUUUCACCAUGUUGUCCAGGCUGGUCUCAAACUCCUGACCCCAAGUGAUCUGCCCACCUCAGCCUCCUAAAGUGCUGGGAUUACAGGUGUAAGCCACCGUGCCCAGCCGCUACUUGUUUUUUUUCCUCAAGACAUAACAGUUAAAUUCUCCAAACAAAACAAGUUUGAUUUUAUUUGCCAGAGAAUAUUCUGAGUAAGCAGAACAAGAUCCAUUACUAAAUCAAGCCUCACCCCACACCUGGGCAGCCCCCUCAGCAAGGUAGGUGCCUUGUUUGGCAGAAUGGUGGAGAUCUUCCUGACUAAGCAUGGAUCUGGUGAAAGCCCAUGGGCUCAGUGCGGGGGCCAAGGUUAAUUCACGGUCCCAGCUCAUGGUGCAGACUGGCCAGUGAAAGACACACUCAGGGCCUCAGCAAUGUCCUUGGCUGCUGGUUUACCUUUACUUUCAGCAGCAGCAGAAGGGUUGGUCAUACCUGAGGUGGAGAAAGAUGUCGGGGUAGGGGUUGGGGGAUGGAGCUAAUAUUAUUGAAAGCGUACUUUGUGCCAAGCACUGAGCGAGGUUCCCCAUUUGCAGGUAUUCGGGGAUUGUCUACCUACUGACUAUUGUUAACUUCUAGUUUCUUUCCAUUGUCCUCAGAGUAGAUGCUGUACAUGACUGCAGUCCUUUGAAAGUGAUUGAGGUUAUUUUUUGGCUCAGUGUCCUGUGACGAAUGUUGCAUGUGCACCUGAAAAGAAUGUGUCCUCUGCAGUUUGGGGAUGGAGUGUUCCAUAAAUAUCAACUGUGAAAGGUCCAGUACUCAGCUGGUAUAGACUCACUGUUCAAGAAAAGCUUAUUCUUUCAUUUAUUGCCAUGAUUACCAGAUAAACCUAUAAGCAAGAGGCUGUUUUGCUAGUUGUGUAGACCAGCGGUUUCGGGAGAGAAUGUAGUCUUCACUCUGCAGUGAGCUCAGAGGAGGAGAGAGGGAAAAAGUCCAUGUGGGUGAGAAGGCACUGCCAGGCCCUGACCCCAGGAGGCAGGUGCUGUGCCAACUUGUCCUCCACGUGGCCCAAAUAAGAAGAAAAGGCCAAGAACUCUAAACAGAUCGCUGAGACCAGGGGAAAAUAUCUUGAGAUUUACUGGAGGGAGGGAAAUUUACCCAUGGAAAUGAGAGGAGCUAUGUGUGGUGACACCCCUUCUCAUCUCAAGCACUUAGCCAAAACUGAUGUGAUCAGAGACCUACUGUCUUAGUCCAUUUUGGCUGCUACAACGGAAUACUUUAAGACUAAGUUCACUUCUCACAGUUCUAGAGGUUUGGAAGUCCAACAUCAAGGUGCUGACAGAUUCUGUGUCUGGUGAAGGCACAUUUCCUUGUUCAUAAAUGAUUACUUUUUUGCAGUGUCCUAAUGUGAAGGAAGGGGCAGGAGAGCUCUCUGAGGUCCCUUUUAUAAUGGUACUAAUCUCAAUCAUGAGGGGUCCACUGUCAUGACCAUCACCCCCCAAUAAUGGUACUAAUCCCAACCAUGAGGAGGGUUCCACUGUCAUGACCAUCACCCCCAAAAGGCCCCACCUCCCAAUACCAUUACCCUGGAGGUUAGAAUUUCAGCAUAUGAAUUUUGGGAGGACACAAAUGUUCAGUCUAUAACUGGGAUGCAAGGAUUCAACAUUGCCCCUGCCCUUCUGGAAUCUGCAGGCCAUGAGGGCAUACAGAUGAUUAAACACGUAAUUACACAUAGCAGGGUGGUGGGGGGGUCAUAAUUGGAAAAGUAUGUCCAGAUUAGAAGAAAAUCGUUCUUUAUUUGUUUCUCUCUCUCUCUUUCUCUGUUACACAUAUUUGCAGACAAACCAGGAGGAUUUCUACAGGGAAGCUGAAAGGGGAAAACAACAGGAUCCUAUCUAUAAACCUAUUAGAAACCAUUAGAGAAUGAUUUCAUGAAGAGUAAGGAACAUGUGAGUUCGCUAGGGCCUCACCCACUAGGAUCAGAAAUGCUUGGAACAUUUUUUGUACCAUAAACCCUUUUGGCAAACUAGAGAAGCUAUGGACAUCUUUUCAGAAUAAUGCUUUUAAAAUGCAUGUAACAAAAUCCUCGGAUUUUAUUUCAAAGGAUUGCAAAGAAAACCAAUUGCGUUGAAUUCAGUUCUACACAUGGGCCUUCCCCUCCACCUCACUCAAUCUAUGGGACAGGGACCUGGAUGUUUAUGGAGUAGUGGGGAGAUACUUUGCAGACAAAGAAAAAGUCUUUCCCAGGGCCAGCAGUUUUCUAUAUAUAUGGAAUUCGUUACCUCCAAGGAGGGCCUGACUGGAGGUUUGGGUAACUCCCACAGAAGACUGUCUUUACCUGCCUUUGGUGAGCUUACGGUUUCUGUUUCUUUUCUCAAAAGACUGUGUGCCCAAACUUCCAGAAAGUAGACAUAUUGAUGCAGUUGAAUUGCCCACCUUUUACAUUUCCCUUAUUGUUCCAUGGAUGGGAUAUAAUGAAUUGGCAAUGGAGGGAAGAGAAAAGUUAAAGGCUAACUUUGAUGGGGGGCUAAGUCCUCAGAGAACGUGUUUCUUAGGGAGCCUUUUGUCACUUGUUAGGCUUUGGAAUCCUCUUUGGGAGUUCACCAAACAGAGAGUGCGGCCCAGGAGGAUGGGGGGCUGAGGAGAAGUUAGAGGUUCGGGGAGGACCCAGGUCAUAUUCUGGGAGGUGGCAGGGGCUGUGGGUCCCGUGAGAUCAGACACCAGUUAUGAAGGAACUACUGGCAGACACUUUGCUCAUUAAUGUCAACCCCCCAUGCUCAUUACCACCCUAGGACCUGGGGUCCCCACUAUACCACUGAGACAACAGUUGCUGAGCAUAGUUAAUCCAAGAUCCUCCAGUGAGAAGCAGUGGAGCUAAGAUCUGAUUCCACAUAAUCUAGGCUCCUAAAUAUUUUUUUUUCUAUUGCCACAUGCCCAGCGGUCUCCCUGUGGCAUGGAGGUCGUGGGUGCAGCUUGUGGAGUCGGAUUGCCAGGUUUCGAUUCUAGCUCCUCUAUUUAAAUAGCUUGAUGAUCCCAGGUCAGUUCCUGCUCCUCGUCUGUAAAAUGGGAAUAAUUUUUUCACCUUUCCCACAGAAUUUCCUGGGGGAUUAAAGGGAGGAUGUAACUAAAGCUCUGAGCACACGUGCCUAGCAUGUGAGCGCUCCUUAAAUGUUAGUUACUGUGAUUAUUUUUAGCCCAGCAGGACAGGGAGGAGUGUUAGGUCCCUGGGGGCGAUCACUCCUCUGUUUACUCCUCGGACUGUCCCAGCCUGGCAGGCGUUCAUGAGUUUGUUUCUCCUGUCCCAAGGUUGCCCUGGUGCUCUGCAGUGACCGGCAGGGCUGAGAUGAUUAUACAACCUGCACUCCGGGCCAAGUCCGGUACUCGUCCCAGCUGUCGGCUAAGCCUGCACUGCUGUGGCAAAACUUUGUGGUUUCUGCUCUGAAUGUCAGGGUGACCCUGUCUGAGGAUGAUCAUGGAUUUCAUUUUCCCUUGUUUGUUAGUGUUGCGGUCAGCCACAAGUUGAAAACAAGGAACCAGCUUGAGAAGGACAGAAUAAUGGGCUCCCAGAUUCACAAGCCCCACCAAGAGGAUCACCCCAGGAACCCUUGGAGGCUGAGGAGUUCACUGAGGCUACUGCAUCUUGAGACUCAGGAUGAAGACCCAGCUUGGGGCUGUCAAAGGUGCAGCCUGCCAGCUGAGACCUCCAGGGGUUGAACCCAGGCCCCUUUGCCUUGUUCAUGGCUUAGGCCAGUGCUUAGCAUAUAGUAAACAACUUGUAAAUGUUUAUUAGAGGAUGUAUGGUGGGUCAUCCCUUCUGAAUGGCACACUGUCCAUUGUCAUUGUCCUCAGAGGCUCCAGCCUCGGGUGCUUCUUAAACUGUGAUGGGAAUGAUGGCAGCAGGUGGGCCCAGGGCUCAGCAUGAGAGCUCACAGCAGGCUGUGCUCCACCCCACCCAGGCCCCCAGUCUUGCCUUGUUUCCUGUGCCUCACCAGGCUGGCCUAGAAACUGCUUCUAACUGAAGCCUGCCAACAUGUCUGCCCCUAACCACACCUACAACUCUAGGGUCACCUUUAGUCUAGAUCAGGGGUCCGUAAACUAUAGCCUUUGCCAGGCACGGUGGCUCACGCCUGUAAUCCCAGAACUUUGGGAGGCCGAGGCAGGUGAAUCACUUGAGGUCAGAAGUUCGAGACCAGCCUGGCCAACAUGGCGAAACCCCAUCUGUACUAAAAAUACAAAAAUUAGCCAGGCAUGGUAGUGCACACCUGUAAUCCCACCUACUUGGAAGGCUGAGGUGGGAGAAUCACUUGAACUUUGGAGGUGGAGGUUGCAGGGAGCUGAGAUUGUGCCACUGAACUCCAGCCUGGGCGACAGAGUGAGACUCUGUCUCAAAACAAACAAACAAACAAACAAAAACUACAGCCUUUGGGCUAAAUCUGGUCAGUGUUCUGUGCUUGUAAGAACUCUGAGUUAAGAACAAUUUUUAUGUCUCUAAAGGGUUGAAGAAUACAAAAAGAAUAUUCAACAGAGACCAUCCGGCUAGCAAAGCCUAAAAUAUUGACCUUCUGGCCCUUUACAGAAAAGGUGUGCCAGUCGCUGGAUUAGGCAGUGCCAACCGCACCCCAGGCUCCCUGUGAAAAUUUCAACCACACAGACUCAUUUCCUUUCUCUUAUCAACACUGAGGCAGGUGUGAUUAUCAUUCCUUGUAAACAUGGAGAAACUAAGGCAUGGAGAGGUUUAACUCGUUUACCUGAGAAUCUAUUAAGUAACACAGCCAGGGUUCAAACCCAGGCAGUCCAGCUUCAGAGUCCAUACUUCCUAGCUGCACUCUGGGCCAUCAGUGUAGGGAUGAGCUUCAGACAAGAACUCCCCUCUUAGUUUCUGCCCUCUCCUGCCCCACAGCCAGUGGACAGGCAUUUUGCACCCCAGCCUGCCCCCAGCCAGCUCCUUCUCAGAGAUUUCCUGCAGGGACUUAGAUGGGGCUCUGGGACCACCCUCCUUUUCUGCCCUACCCGGCACCUGGAACUCUGCUUGAUCCUGCUCCCUCUGAGGCUGGACACGUCUCCAUGAGCCAGGCCUGAAGUUGUUCCCCUCUCUGGACCUCAGGGUCUCCCUUCCUAGGGGCAGUUCCUAUGUCCCCUCUCCUCUCUGCCUUCCCCCCGUCCCACCAUGUCCUUGGGGCUGGAAUUGUAGUGUGCAGCCUUGGGAACAGGGCUGGGCUCAGGGGUUGGGAACAGAGGCCCAGGGCUCUGGCUGACCCUCUCUCAUCCCCAGGAGGAGAAGCUGCUGUGUUUAGAGUGUCACAAAGAACAGUGCUGGAGGCUUCAGAAACCUCGGGAGAUUCUGAACUAGGCUGAGCAGAUGGGAUGGUGCCUCUGUGAUCAACAGGCCUGACAGAGGAGUGCAGGAGGGGGUGCAAAUGGAAAGACAGCUGCCAAGGGGAACAGAGAGCUUUUCAAGUCACCCUUGUCCCCUCCCCACCCCACCAUCAGGGCUAAGACUAAACCUCACCAUCCGGUUGCGGCCUCUCAGCCCUGGGGAUGGAGAUUAGUGCGUGUAGAGUGAAGGUAGAGAGGCCAUGUUCUGGUUGUGUGACCUUGCACAGGUUAUAUAACAUUCUGUGCCUCACUUUACUCAUUUUUAAAAUGAUGAAGAUGAUAACUACCUGGCAGGGUGUCUUAUAUUAGAAAUAAUAUGGUUCCUGGCACUUUGUAAGCACUCGGUGUGAAAUUGUCUUCUGCUGCUCCCGUUCAUCAGUCCACCCCUCCUCUGCAGAGGUUUCCUUCAUGCUGAACAAGCUGGUAGCACCUAAGUUCCUGUUGGUGCACCCUAGUGCCUUCUGCCCAGCCGUCGAGACCCCCAGGGAUCCUAGCCCCUGUGGACAGGGACUUUUGUGCCCUCCUUCUCUGUUACCAGCAAGAGUGAGUCAUGCACUGAAUUUCCAUGGGAUCAUUGCUUGCUAACAUUUGUGAGUGAGUUACUGUCUAGAAACCAGCUUUUCUGGCCUCUUCCCAUUAAUUUCACAAAAGUUAUCUUCCUUUGCCCUUACUACAGCCCUGUGAGAGGUUCAUUACCCCAUUUUACAGACAAUUAAUACUCUGAGAUGAAGUGACUCCCCCGGGGUCGCCUAGCUAAGCAGUGGAGAGUGGGCCUCCCACCCAGGCCUUCUCACUCUGACUCCUGUUCUCCACCUCAUCGUAUAUGGUGACAUGCAGGUCACAUGAUCACACAUCCCUAGCUGAUAUGGAAUUGUGAGCUUCUCCUGGAUCUUCCGAGGAAGGAUGCUUUCAGGAGUGCUUUGGAAUGAAGGCAGUGGAGGCCAAGAGACCUCUAGGUCAAAGCCAGGCAGGAGGGUCCUCUCAGGGGCUCAGCCAACAAGUUGCAUUUCUCCUUCAGAGGUCUGAAGAGGCAGAACACCCCAGAGGAGUCUGGGGCCACCACCCAGUGUCACUGUGGGAAAACGGCAGCAGGAAAUGUCCUCUCGCCUGCGUGCUCCACCUCAGUCCACGCCUUCCCUCCUUCUGGAAGCCUUGCCUGACCACUGACCUGCCCCUUCUAUGGGAAUCACUACUGACCUUGCAGCUUAUUAUAGACUUAUAUGUAUGCAGAAAUAUAAUUUUAAUUACUUUUGUAUUGCUCGAGAGUGAUACCGAAUCAUGAUAGAAAAUUUAAAUAAACAAAAUAGCCAAAUUAAUACCAGUAAUCACCCCAGUCAAAUAUACCCAGCUCAUAUUUUGAUGUAAAAUCUUCCAGUACAUUUUCUAUGUACAUAUAUAUAUUUUUAGGAAGGAGAUUAUAUUUUACAUGCUGUUUUCUAAAACGUUCUUUUAAAACUGUAUCAUAAACAUCUUUCCUUAUCAUUAAAUAGUCUUCUACAACAAA